rnacentral:tRNA from 1 species
GUGGUUAUAGCUCAGUUGGUUAGAGCAUCGGUUUGUGGUACCGAGGGUCGUGGGUUCGAGUCCCAUUAGCCACCCA